rnacentral:tRNA from 1 species
GGAGGGGUGGCAGAGUGGUCUAUCGCGACGGUCUUGAAAACCGUUAUGGCUUAACCGCCAUCGGGGGUUCGAAUCCCUCCCCCUCCGCCA